GCGGCCUUGGAGAGGCUGUAGCCGCAAGCGGACGGGCCGCGGAGUCUCCCUCAGGAUCAGGAAGGGACUCCGAGACGCCCGGGGCGGAACCCCUUUCCCAGACUUGAGAGCCGCCCCUCCCCCCUCCGGGGACCGUUACCCGUUGCCGCCUGAAGGAGCGGUUGUGUGAUUGUCGCUAGAGUGGCCCUGGGCAUCGUUUGUCUAGGGCACGCUGGCUUUUGGCUUUGAAGGUUCUCUACCCACUUCCUUCCCAGCAUUGCAGUUGGUCCUUGUAGCUCCGGUAUCUGCUGUAGACUCCACUCUCUUCAGUCCUUAAAUGAUGUGCUGCCAAACAAGCUGUUUCCUGGAGCCUUUGCAAAUCAGUUCAGCAUGAAGGGAAAACAAGGCAACCAAAGAAGCUGCUUUAAAAAUCGUGAUGUCAAGCUGGGUCCAGUGGCUCUUACCUGUAAUACCAGCACUUGGGAAGCUGAGGCAGGAGGACUGCUGUGAGUCUGAGACCAGCUUGGGCUACAAGUGAGACUGUUUUAAAAAACAAAAAACAAAAACAAGAAAGAAAAAGCAUAACCAUGCUGUCAUGGUGUCAGUGGCUCUUGGAUCACUCUAGUUUUCUCCACGCUAAUGAUACCAACCAACUUAAUUCCUUAGCACAAUCUUGUGGCAAUGUGACUAGCAGAUGGCACAGAAAUGGCCACUGUCUUGCAUCCAGGGAGAGGUUUUGCAUGAUUUCCUUUAUGACUGUACAUGCUUUUCUUCUUAAUGCUUUGGCCUUGCCUACUUACUAAAAGUGUUCAAUGGCACACAGAUGCAUUCUCUGCACUGUCUAUUCUCACUCAGUCCAGUUCCUCAUUUAAUGUCACGGUCUUCUCCAUACACUAAUGUCACAGCGUGCUGACAUAGGCAGGCUUCAUCUAUAGAAUAUACUUUCUCUAGCCUGAGUGUCUCUAAAGCUUUACUAGAAAAAGCCUCCCAAAUGUUAGCGGAUAGAAGUUUUAGCAUGAAAAGCUUGUCAAAUCAUCUCAAUAGAGAGAAUUCUUCUGUCUUAAGUAUUAGCAAUGAUACUCCUCCUACUGCCUAUCCCAGCUAUGUUAUGAAAGGGGUCAUAAUAAUUAGUUUCUUUGUUAUUAUUAGCCCAGUUCUGUUCUUGUAGACAACAGAUUUGUAUUGUGCUUAAACGUCUUUGGGUAAAUGUCUGUCCACAUGAUCACUGGCCAUUGUAGGCCCUAUAUCUAGGCUGGCCACAUCAUCCAGUCACUCACAGA